rnacentral:rRNA from 1 species
CCUAACACAUGCAAGUCGAACGGUAACAGGAAGAAGCUUGCUUCUUUGCUGACGAGUGGCGGACGGGUGAGUAAUGUCUGGGAAACUGCCUGAUGGAGGGGGAUAACUACUGGAAACGGUAGCUAAUACCGCAUAACGUCGCAAGACCAAAGAGGGGGACCUUCGGGCCUCUUGCCAUCGGAUGUGCCCAGAUGGGAUUAGCUAGUAGGUGGGGUAACGGCUCACCUAGGCGACGAUCCCUAGCUGGUCUGAGAGGAUGACCAGCCACACUGGAACUGAGACACGGUCCAGACUCCUACGGGAGGCAGCAGUGGGGAAUAUUGCACAAUGGGCGCAAGCCUGAUGCAGCCAUGCCGCGUGUUAUGAAGAAGGCCUUCGGGUUGUAAAGACGUUCAGCGGGGAG